rnacentral:tRNA from 1 species
GUUUUAGAAGCUUCAAAAUUAGCAAUUAAUCUUGUAAAUUAAUCAGUAAAGUAGUAUUAAUCUUUCUAAAACU